ensembl:lncRNA
CAGGAUGAUUUUAUAAACAUUUUGCCAGCGGAUCAAUACCCGUAUUGAUCAACCAUUGUGAGAGUGAUCCGUCUAAAACCCAGAGCAGCCUAGAGCUCUGCAAUGGGAGGAGCGAAACAGAGAGAGAGAGAGAGAGAGAGAGAGAGAGAGAGAGAGAGAGAGAGAGAGAGAGAGGCUGCAGAGAGGAAGGAGAAAGAGUGAGAGAUUCUACAGCAACAGUGAAAGAGAGAAGAGGUGCACGAGAAGAGGAGGGCAAUGUCUGUGAGGAGAGGCAGACGCCAGAAGCUCAGGGCAGGUGGAGAGCCAUGUUCCACACCUGCCAGGCCACGGGAUCCCGAACGAAAAAAAAAAAAGCAGCGGCGAUUGCUUUCUCAUUAAGGGAGGGAGGGCGACUAGCGACUAACGACUGACGACGGCGUUAGGCAUGCGGGGAAAAAGGAAAACAUUCAUCAAGCAAGUGCCACGCCAAUAUCAAACGUAUGCUAUUAUCGUUAACGAAUAUGAAUGACAGCCAAGGCCCAGCUUGCAUCGUCCAUUAUCAUGUGGUCAGUGGGUUUGGACAAUCCCCAAUAGGAAUGAUCCCGGAGGAAUGAGACAGACCUGAGAGCAGGGUGCAUCUUGGAUACAAAUAGAUAUGGAGGGAAACGACAUCAAGUUCAACUCCCACAAAUCAAUGCCAUCUAGACAAGGAAGAGCCUGAUGAGAGUAAGGAACCAAAUAGAAAUUGUUGCUCAAACUUUCACAUUUUGGUUUGGAUACAGAAGAAUUUUGGGACAUUGGACAAGUUUUUCUGUGUUAUUUGAGGCGAUGUUACUGGAAUCUUGGAAAUUUUAUGUUGGAUAUGACCAAAAGACCAGCAGAGGAUUGUACCAAUGUAUCAAGAACGGGGGAAAAAGAAGGCCUCAAGUGAAACCAGAAGUAGCAAAGCACCGUCGGUUAACUAUCCAUCAACGCUAAGAUAAAAUGUGUUCAUAUUCAAUGUGUCUCCAAUAUAAUCCCUGGUUUUAUCAGAAAAUACAACCUACCUCCAAAUCUCUGUGUAAUAUGUAAUAGCAUUGUAUUACUCUUUUUUUUUUUUCCUUUUUCAGUGUUGUUCAAAUUCAUCUUAAUGUAUUAGGCACACAAAUGUAAUGGCAUUACCUAAGGGCAGAUAGUCAAUGUUUUGCAUUUAAUGGACUAAAUGCUUACUGGUGGUCUAAUCUGUUUGCGAAACAUCUUCACUUUAUUUUUAAGUUCCAAUUAAUUUGUAAUAAAUAAAGUCGUUUGUGAACAUGCAAACAUCUCAAGAAAAUAGUAAUGUGGUGCUGAGCAUUAAUUGAAAAACAUAAACCUAUAUUGAUACGUAUGUGAUUGUUUUUAUGGUUUGUCUUUUUUAGUGUUCGGAUAAUCACAAUGAUCGAGACACUUGAAAUAGAGAUACACAAUUAAAUGCCUUUUAUCUCAUUACAGGGCGAAUGCUUCCUUGGAUUCAAAUUCAGAAAAUGCUUACCAUCGCUCGGUGGCCAUGGAUACUACUUCAUCAGCUGAAAUGAGCUCAUAGGCAGUAAUGGCAUUUUAUCUGUAAUACCUUGUUCAUCUCACAUAGAUGUUUGUUAUCCCAUGCUUAUUCAUUCAGGUUUAAUUAAUGUUACUUUACUCUUCUGUACAAUUUAUUGUGUCCUUUGUUGGCUCUGUUAUUUAUUUUUUACCUUUGUCCUAUUUUUUACAAGAACGGCUAAGUGAAGGUGCUAUGAUCAUUAUUGGACUUAUCACAUUUAAAUUGGUAUUCAAUUAGCAGGUCAGUCAACCUGAACUAAUCAAGCAAUUAGGCUGGGUGUUCACAGAAUAGCCAACAAAAGCAUAGUAGUCCCAAGGGACAGCAAUGGAAAUACUGCACGAGUGACAGUGUACAAGAGAAGCUAUUGUAAGAGCGAGGAAAGAUCAGACAGGGAGGAACACUGGCUUCAGAAGCAGAAUAACAUUUAAAAAAGGCCUGAUUUAGAAAUGAAUCUUGUAAUCUAGUCUAGAUAUUUGGAUGGACUUUAGUAAAAACAACAUUGUUGGAUUUUUUUGCAUUUCAUUGCAUAUUGCCUAUUGUUAUUAUUACUAUUGUUAUUUGUAUUAAUAUUAUUAAUAUUACUAUGCAGUAGUAGAGAUAGAAGACGUAUCAUUAGUAUUGAUAAUAGUAGUAAUAGAAGUAGUAGCAGUAGUAGUGGUGGUAGUAGUAGAAGUAGUAGUAGUAGCCUACUAGUAGUAGUAGUAGUAGUAGCAGCCGUAGUAGUACUAGUAGUAAUAGACAUAGUAGCAGCAGUAGUAGUAGUAGUAGAAGUAAAAGUAGUUUGAAUAUAAGUAGUAGCAGUAGUAGUAGUAGUAGCAGUCGUAGUGGUAGUAGUAGCAGUAGCAGUAGUAGUGGUAGUAGUAGUAGUAGUAGUAGUAGUAGCAGUAGUAGUAGUAGUAGUAGUUUAGUUAAGAUAAGGAGCAUUGUAAAAUAGAAUAAACACAAGCAGUGAACAAAACUGUAACAUGUGUACUAUACUUCAACAUUUACUUUGUUGUAUUUUGAGUAUCUGUUCAUGCUGUAGCAGGCCUAUAUUAUGGACAAACAUAUAAGAGGAGCGCCUUUCAGCAUACACAUAUUUAAGUAACAAAAAAAGUUGAUGUAAAUUCCCUGUGGCUGCGACGAACGUGUGCACAACAACAGCGUUUGACAUGGCACACCAGGACCAAAAAUGUGUUUACAUGCGCUGUCUGUAUGAAUCUCAAUGCGGGGCGGGGAUUUUAAUUUCCACAAAAUUUGAAUGAAGUACAGAGAGGAGACACCUUUCUGCUGUGACAUGAUGUUUGACAAAUAAUCUUCAAGACAGUACAAUGUAUUUCCCCUGUCAGUCUUAAAGCGGGUUCGGCUGUCACACGUUUUUGUGUGUGUGCAUGUGCGUCUUAUGAGCUAACCCCCCCAGCCCCCACAAGUCAGACUUUAGUGUCUUACCUACCUUUGGGCCACAGGAGAUUUGGUAGGCAGCUCAGGCUGUUCAAACGUCUACUCCGUGCACACUGGAAAAGAAUCUGAGAGGGAACACACACACACACACACACACACACAC